rnacentral:rRNA from 1 species
CGGGGUGAGUAAUGUAUGGGGAUCUGCCUGAUGGCGGGGGAUAACUACUGGAAACGGUAGCUAAUACCGCAUAAUGUCUACGGACCAGAGCGGGGGACCUCCGGGCCUCGCGCCAUCAGAUGAACCCAUAUGGGAUUAGCUAGUAGGUAAGGUAACGGCUCACCUAGGCGACGAUCCCUAGCUGGUCUGAGAGGAUGACCAGCCACACUGGAACUGAGACACGGUCCAG